rnacentral:rRNA from 1 species
GUGCCAGCCGCCGCGGUAAUACCGGCAGCUCAAGUGAUGACCGAUUUUAUUGGGCCUAAAGCGUCCGUAGCUGGCCAAGCAAGUCUGUCGGGAAAUCCAUCCGCUCAACGGAUGGGCGUCCGGCGGAAACUCCUUGGCUUGGGACCGGAAGGCUCGAGGGGUACGUCUGGGGUAGGAGUGAAAUCCUGUAAUCCUGGACGGACCACCGAUGGCGAAAGCACCUCGAGAAGACGGAUCCGACAGUGAGGGACGAAAGCUAGGGUCUCGAACCGGAUUAGAUACCCUAGUAGUCC